GGAAUGGAGCUGACAUUUCCUGUCUCACCCGCCAAACUCCCCGUGUUUCCACUGCCUACCCCUCAGGUUCAGCCGGGUCACUGGUUUCUCUCUCACUGCACCACCUGUCUGAGACUUGCCGUGUGCCUUGUACAUCUGAUCGACGACGCCAGCCCCAGCUGCCUGACAGGAGAGAGUGAGAGAAGAGAAGAGAUUAUUUCAGAGUUAAGAAACAAGGAACAAUACUUGGGAAAAAGAAAAUUUAAAAAAAGGAAAUUAAGAAUUUGACUUCCUUUUUUUUCUUUCUUUCUGCUUUCCUCUCCUUUCUUUUUAGUCUUCCAAUCUGUUCUCCCCAUCCUUGGGGAGCACUGCUUGAACCUGCAUUUGUGAAUUAUAAGCUCUCUGUACUGUACAUAGCAGUUGUUAAGGAUCAACUGAUUAACCAUUUUAUAGAAGAUUUAGGGGACUCAUUCCAAUUUUUACAACUCCAUGUGGUUUUUAAAUAUUGUAAUGUUUUCAACCAAUAUGUUUUCUGCCUCCCAGCUGUAAAACAAUACCUAUUGGCUUGGGGGGAGGGAAUUUAUUUUUAUAUAAUUUUGUUAUAAUACAACUUUUUUGUGGUACUAACAGCAUCUUCUGGGAAAGAAUUAAAAAAGCAGCAAGAUGAAAUAUCACGUUCUUCAUUUUUUGCUCACUCACUUAGGUCAGCAUAUUACAGUAUCGAAAACAUAACAACCCGGAAUGGGACAGAUUAUGGGAUUUAUGAAUUUGCCUGGUUUUGUUGGCUUGGUGAGACCUUUACCAUUUUGUUACAUUCUUUCUUGUAUUCAAUGUCCCGUUUAUUUUUUAAUGGAAGAAUAAAGGGUUCACAUAAAGUAUCUCA
rnacentral:lncRNA from 1 species